AUACAUGCUACGAAGAGAAUAGUAGAUAUCGCAUUACUUAAGAGAGGGAAUGGAUGGUGAAAAUUCCAGUAUCGUGUGGUAUCGAACCUGACUCCGAGCUUUCCGGUUAAUAACCUGAACGGUUCAAACCGUUAUAUUGUUGAGUGACUGUCAAACAGUAAUUAGAGUGGUACCGCGGAUAUCCGUCUCUUGC
rnacentral:ncRNA from 1 species